rnacentral:rRNA from 1 species
GUGGGGAAUAUUGGACAAUGGGCGAAAGCCUGAUCCAGCCAUGCCGCGUGUGUGAAGAAGGUCUUCGGAUUGUAAAGCACUUUAAGUUGGGAGGAAGGGCAGUAAGUUAAUACCUUGCUGUUUUGACGUUACCGACAGAAUAAGCACCGGCUAACUUCGUGCCAGCAGCCGCGGUAAUACGAAGGGUGCAAGCGUUAAUCGGAAUUACUGGGCGUAAAGCGCGCGUAGGUGGUUUUGUAAGUUGGAGGUGAAAUCCCCGGGCUCAACCUGGGAGCUGCCUCCAAAACUGCAUGACUAGAGUACGGUAGAGGGUAGUGGAAUUUCCUGUGUAGCGGUGAAAUGCGUAGAUAUAGGAAGGAACACCAGUGGCGAAGGCGACUACCUGGACUGAUACUGACACUGAGGUGCGAAAGCGUGGGGAGCAAACAGGAUUAGAUACCCCGGUAGUCC